CGGGGUGCAGCAGGCGCGAAAACUUUACAAUGCCGGCAACGGCGAUAAGGGAACCUCGAGUGCCAGGUUACAAAUCUGGCUGUCGUGAUGCCUAAAAAGCAUUGCAUAGCAAGGGCCGGGCAAGACCGGUGCCAGCCGCCGCGGUAACACCGGCGGCUCGAGUGGUAACCGUUAUUAUUGGGUCUAAAGGGUCUGUAGCCGGCCGGGUAAGUCUCUUGGGAAAUCUGGCAGCUUAACUGUCAGGCUUUCAGGAGAUACUGCCUGGCUCGAGGCCGGGAGAGGUGAGAGGUACUUCAGGGGUAGGGGUGAAAUCUUGUAAUCCUUGAAGGACCACCAGUGGCGAAGGCGUCUCACCAGAACGGACCUGACGGCAAGGGACGAAAGCUAGGGGCACGAACCGGAUUAGAUACCCGGGUAGUCCUAGCCGUAAACGAUACUCGCUAGGUGUCGGCCACGGUGCGACCGUGGUCGGUGCCGUAGGGAAGCCGUGAAGCGAGCCACCUGGGAAGUACGGCCGCAAGGCUGAAACUUAGAGGAAUUGGCGGGGGAGCAC
rnacentral:rRNA from 1 species